rnacentral:rRNA from 1 species
CCCUUAGAUGUUCUGGGCCGCACGCGCGCUACAUUGGCACUAGCAAAGAGAUCCUAGAUUGAAUUCUUUGGGGUAUUCUUCUAAAUGGUGUCGUGACUGGGAUAAAUCCUUGUAAUUAUUGGUUUUGAACGAGGAAUUCCUUGUAAUCGCGGUUUAUCAGCUCGCGUUGAAUGCGUCCCUGCCCUUUGUACACACCGCCCGUCGCUCCUACCGAUGGAUCGUCCGGUGAAGCUCACGGAGUGACUGUUCACGCAACGGUUUACGAAGUGAAAUGGACCUCACGAUUUAGAGGAAGGAGAAGUCGUAACA